rnacentral:rRNA from 1 species
AGAGUUUGAUCCUGGCUCAGGACGAACGCUGGCGGCGCGCCUAACACAUGCAAGUCGAACGGAGUUAUUUUGGCAGAAGCCUUCGGGUGGACGCUGAUAUAACUUAGUGGCGAACGGGUGAGUAACACGUGAGCAACCUGCCCUUCAGAGGGGGACAACAGUUGGAAACGACUGCUAAUACCGCAUAAGACCACGGUGUGGCAUCACACAGAGGUCAAAGGAGAAAUCCGCUGAAGGAUGGGCUCGCGUCCAAUUAGCUAGAUGGUGAGGUAACGGCCCACCAUGGCGACGAUUGGUAGCCGGACUGAGAGGUUGAUCGGCCACAUUGGGACUGAGACACGGCCCAGACUCCUACGGGAGGCAGCAGUGGGGAAUAUUGCACAAUGGAGGAAACUCUGAUGCAGCGACGCCGCGUGAGGGAAGAAGGUCUUCGGAUUGUAAACCUCUGUUGUCAGGGACGAUAAUGACGGUACCUGACGAGGAAGCCACGGCUAACUACGUGCCAGCAGCCGCGGUAAAACGUAGGUGGCAAGCGUUGUCCGGAAUUACUGGGUGUAAAGGGAGCGCAGGCGGGAGAGCAAGUUGGAAGUGAAAUCUGUGGGCUCAACUCACAAAUUGCUUUCAAAACUGUUUUUCUUGAGUGGUGUAGAGGUAGGCGGAAUUCCCGGUGUAGCGGUGGAAUGCGUAGAUAUCGGGAGGAACACCAGUGGCGAAGGCGGCCUACUGGGCACUAACUGACGCUGAGGCUCGAAAGCAUGGGUAGCAAACAGGAUUAGAUACCCUGGUAGUCCAUGCCGUAAACGAUGAUUACUAGGUGUGGGAGGAUUGACCCCUUCCGUGCCGCAGUUAACACAAUAAGUAAUCCACCUGGGGAGUACGACCGCAAGGUUGAAACUCAAAGGAAUUGACGGGGGCCCGCACAAGCGGUGGAGCAUGUGGUUUAA